rnacentral:rRNA from 1 species
ACGGAAGGCAGCAGUGAGGAAUAUUGGUCAAUGGGCGGAAGCCUGAACCAGCCAAGUCGCGUGAAGGAUGAGGGUAUUAUGUAUUGUAAACUUCUUUAGCAGCAGAGUAAUAAGGUCCUCGUGAGGGCUGAUGCAAGUAUGCUGAAAAUAAGGAUUGGCUAACUCCGUGCCAGCAGCCGCGGUAAUACGGAGGAUCCGAGCGUUAUCCGGAUUUAUUGGGUUUAAAGGGUGCGCAGGCGGCUUUUUAAGUCAGGGGAAAAAUCGGGGGCCUCACCCCCAUCCUGCCGUUGAUACUGGAGAGCUUGAUUGCGGUUGAGGUUGGCGGAAUUCGUCGUGUAGCGGUGAAAUGCAUAGAUAUGACGAAGAACACCGAUUGCGUAGGCAGCUGACCAAGCCGUGAAUGACGCUCAUGCACGAAAGUGCGGGGAUCGAACAGGAUUAGAUACCCUGUA